UACAGAGGUGGCGAGCGUUAUUCGGAAUUAUUGGGCGUAAAGGGCGCGUAGGCGGCCAAGCAAGUCCCGGGUGAAAUCCCUCGGCUCAACCGAGGAACUGCCUUGGAAACUGCUUGGCUCGAGGCCGGGAGAGGGUAGUGGAAUUCCCAGUGUAGCGGUGAAAUGCGUAGAUACUGGGAGGAACACCGGUGGCGAAGGCGGCUACCUGGACCGGUUCUGACGCUGAGGCGCGAAAGCGUGGGGAGCAAACAGGAUUAGAUACCCUGGUAGUCCACGCUGUAAACGAUGGAUGCUCGGUGUCGCGGGUAUCGACCCCUGCGGUGCCUUAGCUAACGCGUUAAGCAUCCCGCCUGGGGAGUACGGUCGCAAGGCUGAA
rnacentral:rRNA from 1 species